ACGUAGGGCGCGAGCGUUGUCCGGAUUUAUUGGGCGUAAAGAGCUCGUAGGCGGCUCGUUGCGUCGGCUGUGAAAACCCGCAGCUCAACUGUGGGCUUGCAGCUGAUACGGGCGGGCUGGGAUUCGGUAGGGGAGACUGGAAUUCCUGGUGUAGCGGUGAAAUGCGCAGAUAUCAGGAGGAACACCGGUGGCGAAGGCGGGUCUCUGGGCCGAUAUCGACGCUGAGGAGCGAAAGCGUGGGGAGCGAACAGGA
rnacentral:rRNA from 1 species